rnacentral:lncRNA from 1 species
GCACAGGCAAAGCAAUGGAGUGGAUUUACAAUCAAUGUAAUUAGAUUAGAUGAACUACUUCUGAUUGUAGGCUGAAGCAUCUUCAAAUUUUCAAAAGCUCCAAAAGAAUGCUUCUUCCUUUUCAAAUAUUAGCGGCCUUGCUUUGCAAUGUAGUCCUAGAAAAUUCCGAUUACAUAAAAAAUUAAAUAUAAAGAUUCGUUAUAUAAAUUUGGCCAAAGGUUAAGAUAGAAUCUAUGCUUUCAUUUUCAUUGUCUUUUGUAAAGAUUUGUAAUAUAAUAUUUGGUUCAGAUUGUGUUCACUGAUAUUUAUUCUGUUGGUUGUUUUAGAAAGAAGGUACACCUCUUCAAGUACUUCGACUAGCCACUGUUCCACCACAUCAUGAUUUGCAAGAUAAACCGGCAAUUAAAUCUAGCGGAGGACAAAAUCAAGAGAACAACCAAGGCGUAAGGAGUCCAUUGUCACAUCAACUAAUGGAAAUUCUUCAAAGAAUGAAACCUUUUGUCGAUGGUCAGAAAUCCGCUAUACAACAAUUCAUAUCCAAUCUAUGGCUCAUGCGAUAAAAGACUCUGUUGGAAAGGAAUAAGUUAUCUCCUGCUAUAAAGUUGGUCCAUGUAAUGAAAAGACUAUGGAAUCAUAGACUUUAAAAUAAGACUUGCAAUUGUAUCCUCUUCGUCUCAUUUCCUUCUCUCAGCCCUUUUUACCUUGCAAUCUCUUCGGAGGCAGCGGCGAUGCCACGGUCACAGAUGAAGAAAAAAAAGGAUGCGUGUCGUCUCCAAAGUGAGUGAAUGUGUCUCUGUGAGUGAAAUAUGACCUCCCUUCAGUUGUUAACAUUAUGCAAUCUUUUAAACAUUAGCAUAACAUCUUUCUUCUUUUCUUUUCUUUUUUGUGUCUAUAUAGUACAAAAUAUUAGUGGACUGUGUUGGUUUUGGCAUAUGUUGUAGUUGGUUUUGACAUUAUACCUUGAUCAUGAAUUUCAC